UGUCCACAGUUUAUGAACAAAUUAAAUAUAAUAUAUUUAUACUUUUUUAUUAAGAAAAGCCUCUUUGAUUUUGGAUUAUAUUUUACAAUUGGCCUUUCCGGAAGAACGCCCUCCCAGCACCAUUGUGGGGAACUAAUAAACAUUACUGCCUUAGAUUUGACAGCAUGUUCACUGUCCGACACCCUUUUACCUGAUGCUAUUACCAUCACAGCUAUAACUUUAAAACUUUCUAAGAACAAUCUUAAUUCUGUCGAUGUGUCCUCUUUUAAGAAAUUUACUUUAUUGACUGAAUUGUACCUUGACAACAAUAAAAUUAUAUGUAUAGAAGCAGGCGCAUUCUUAGCACUUACUAAUUUGGCUAUACUAUGGCUUAAUAACAAUCAACUUUGCUCAAUUCAUAGUGGCCUGUUAAGAGGUCUUUCUAACCUGGAAGUACUCUGGUUAGAAGGGAACCGCAUUACCGAUGUGGACGCUGACUCCUUUAAAGAUCUAGUGAAUUUGAAACAUUUGUAGGUCUAUAACUUAACAAGAUAUUAUAACCAGAAAGUGAGAGAACGUCUCUCUCAAGUAAUAAGCUUGAGUCCUUUAAUCGAACUGCAUUUUCAGAACUUUCGCAUUUGACUUACUUAGGUUUAUCUGCAAACCAUCUUACCAAAAUCGAGAAAAAACUCUUGAAAAAAUUUGCGAAAUUAAAAACUUUGAGACUUGACUUCAAUUCCAUCUAUUCAAUAGAGCCGAGAUCCUUCCAAAGACUUGGAGAUUUGACUUACUUGUAUGUACCUGUGAGUUUAAAGGACUCAGUAGCAAUCUACUUACUUUUAUUGACGAGACCUUCUUUAAAGGGCUAUAUCAGCUAAGAUGCCUGUAAGAUGCUGGUCAUUAUAUAUUGAAUACUCCAAUUUACUUUGGGAAGUCGGAAGUGUAGCUUAAAAAAUAAAAAUAAUGUUUUUUUCCACUUAGAGUAUUGCACACCGCUAUUUAUUUUCGUUAGGUACCUUCAACAUAAUAACAUUG